GUAGUCUCAUCUGAAACAGUGUAACAGUCACCACUUGUCACAACAUUGAGUUGGAGGAAGAAAUUAUUUGCCUCGCGAAAAAUGAACCCAAGAUACGAUUCCAAUGAUUUGCUCAUUCACACAAACAUUCGCACACGCAUGACAAUAUUGACAGGCAUCAAACCCAUGAGUAAACUGUAUCACUAUAGUGAAAAGGAUAUUUAUUGCACAAGUGCAGGAUAAAAAAGUAUCACAUUGCAAAAGCACCAGUUUCCAUUCACUUCCUUUGGCCCAAACCUAAAACUAUAACAUCAACAAUUUAAGGGAACUGAACAAGAAGGCCUAAUAUUAAGAAUUCUCAC
rnacentral:misc_RNA from 1 species